GACAGAGGGUGCAAACGUUGUUCGGAAUUACUGGGCGUAAAGCGAGUGUAGGCGGUCUUCUAAGUCGGAUGUGAAAGCCCCGGGCUCAACCCGGGAAGUGCACUCGAAACUGGAAGGCUAGAGUAUCGGAGAGGUUGGUGGAAUUCUCGGUGUAGAGGUGAAAUUCGUAGAUAUUAGCUAGAACACCAGUGGCGAAGGCGGCCAACUGGUCCGACACUGACGCUGAGGUGCGAAAGCGUGGGGAGCAAACAGG
rnacentral:rRNA from 1 species